ensembl:lncRNA
UAUUGUACAUCAUUUGAGUUUAUUUACCCAUCAAUAGUUGAGAUUAAAGUACCAAUACACAAGAGGUAGAAUUGUUUUAGAAUUUUUAUUUCCACAAUCAAGGGAAUCAACUGGGUUGCCACUGGCCAGCAUCAAGCCGUUGAGGGAGUCAUUCUGUGGGGGGGAACAAGGUCUCGUAAAUAUUGACAUGUGGAAACAAACAGGCCAGAUUAACACACUACAUUGCCUCAGGAAAAAAUGGAACGGAAGGAGUAUAAUCAUGAGAUCAUUUGGCAGAAUCUUUUUCAUCACAGGUCUAGUGGAGGAAUUACUGAGACUAGAGACUUAAAAUUCUUACCAUGGAUGAUGAGGCAGCCCAUUUUUUGGUACUAUGAUGAGGAAAAGCCCUUUCCUGAUGGAUGCACAAAUAGUAGUUAUUAGAAUUCAAUGACUCGUUUAUUGAAAAGUACAUUUACUGGGUUAGUCAGCAACAUAAAUUAUCCACAUAGAAGUUCAGUCCAGACAUUUGGUAAACCAUCAUUUAACCCAAGUCACUAAUUUCAUUUACUGGAGGAUUUUUGGUCUCACCUAAACUGAUCUUGUCAAAGGCCUUUAAAGUCAGCAGUCACACCUGAAAAUAGAAAUUAGUGAGUCAAAUAUGCCCACAACUUGGGAUAGGAUAACCUAACUCACACUGACCAGGUCAGUUAGAGCUAAUAAACAUGACUUCAUGGAUUGGUCAGUCUUAACUUUGUCAUCACAGGUGUCAACAUUGGCAGCACGUCCAGACUCAGAGGAGAGUUCAGUGGUCAAUGGGAAGUGGACAUUAGCCUAAUAUAUUGCCACCUUAUUGUUUGAUUCUAUACCACCUGAACCUGGUCGUCUGAGUCUGUGUGGGUUCACUCUCAUACUCACUCUGCUGGUAUGUUGUCCUCUGGAAGAGCCAACAAGCGACAUCACCUGUAAGAAGCUUUGUGUAAAUUAAUAUGAAUAAAAUAAAUUAAAAGUUCUUAAAAAAAACAAUCCAGAUCAGAUUAAAUUACUUCCUCAAAAAUAUCGGAGACCUGAUUAUUGCUCAUCACAUCUGAAUAAUAGUUUCUGCAGAAAACUGAACCAUUAGAUGAUCUUACCAAAGUCUUGAAAGAUCUUCUGGCGGGAGGGUUUCACAUUUCUGGCUGGAGGAGAAGACUUGUGAGCAUCUCUUGUAUUUAUCACACAGGACUAAAUGACAACUCUGACACAUCAGCUAGGAGCGAAAGACAAAACGCAUAAUCGUCAUUGUUAAUCUGUUGAACUAUGCUCUCAUCAUGGUAUCAAGCACCACACGGUUUGUUCAUCACCGGCGAGGAAAUUCACUCACCUCAAUUCUGAUAGCAGUGGUGAGCUCCUGGCAUUGAAGUUACUGAAAAUUAAGAACAUGAAUAUUUUAAAAACGUCAUUUAAAACUGGUGUUCUCACUGGUGGCAGAGGCUGACACAUCAGAUAGGAGCGAAAGACAAAAACGCAUGAUCGUCAUUGUUAAUCUGUUGAACUAUGCGCUCAUCAUUGUAUCAAGCACCAGGCUGUUGAUCCCAGAUGAGGACCUGCACUCACCUCAAUUUGGAGGACGGCAAUGUGUUCCCAUCAGACAUUUCUGAAAAAGAAUAUCGAUUUUUUUUUUUUAAACAGUGUUUAGAACAACAGGUUCUCACCGGUGGUUGAGGCCAACACAUCAGAUAGGAGCGAAAGACAAAAACGCAUGAUCGUCAUUGUUAAUCUGUUGAACUAUGCGCUCAUCAUUGUAUCAGACGUUUGUAAUCAAACAUUCAAUCAAGUACAAAGCCACUCACCGUGAACCGAGGAAAGGCAUCCCAAGGCAAGUCGAGGGGGGGGGCACCUGCAAGUUAAAACUAAGGAUGAGUAAACACUCCCAUAUUCUCUUAUGUAAGCAUUUUAGUCUGUUCUGUAUCAGUAAAAAAAGUUAGUCUUUCACUUUUUUCAGAGAGAUUCCCAAGUAUCAUCAUUUACAGUUUGUUUAAAAAAAAGAAAGUAAAGAAAGUUCCUUACCUGCUAUAAGGACCCAUCACUGAUCCGUGAACAAAAUGUAGGCACACCUGCAGAAACACAAGUGAUGAGCAAACAAAAUAAUAAUAGUUAACCUGAAGGCAACAAGCUUGGUGCCUCAGAUAAGUCAACUGGUGGGUUGAAAGUAUCGUCAUCCAUGUUGUCGAGAGUAGCAAAUAAAUGGCAUCACAAGCACACUGCAGGAUAAAGGCAGACUGACGCUUCUCCAAAUGUCAGAGAAGCAAAAGUCCGUCUAGAUAUUAAAGUAAUCCGUACCUUUUUUGCAAUUGCUCCCACUGUUGCUUCCUGCACGACUCUCAACUUCCGAGACACCUGUUGAAACAAACAGUUCAGCACCACGCUGGUCACAGAGAAACUUUUAUAGCUCAAUUUAAGUCUCAGAGUUGAAUUUGUCAGAAAUCACAUCUGUCCACUACUCUAAAUGCAUCACAGACUUGAACAAACUAUCUUUCAGGGAUGGUGGGGGGGAAACUCACCAGCUUUGUAUGAUACGUGGUUCACCACUAAAGUUGGGGCACAUCUUUUUCAACCUGGAAAAAAAAAAAGCACGUUAUACAGUUAAAUUAACGAGGCAACAAACUGAUGAAAUUACAUCGGCAUCAAUUCGGCGCGGCAGCUAAACGCUCGCUAGCCGCACAGCUAACGAGGAGCCGAACCGGCCUCGGGCCUCGUCCCAUUAAGUCAGGAGAAUUAAGUUUGCAUUCGUCACAUUUAAAUCAGACAUCCAACAAGUUCUCCUAAUUCAGUCACGGAAGAGCUCCAGCAAGGUUCGGCUCGGUUAAAGAGCGAGGUUAGCUAAUGGGAGUUUGAUAGCAGGCCUCCACCACGUGACUCGUGCUAGAGUGCAAGAUUUCCGUUAUGGGAAAAUCAGAAACGUGUAUAGCUUAAUCUAAAAGUUUCAGGGCUGAAUGCCAGAAAUGACAUCUGUCCACUAUUCUAAAUACAGACGGACAAACUAUUGAGACUCACCCGCUCGGUAUGCAGCGUGGUUCCCCACUAACGUCGAGGCACAUCUUUUUCAACCUGAAAAAAAAGGCACGUUAUUAGUUAAAGAUGAAUGAAGCCGAACUGAGGAAAACACAUCUGCAUCGGUCGGGCCACGCAGCAGCUAAACGCUCGCUAGCAGCGCAGCUAACGUGGAGCCCAACCGGCUUCGGGCCUUGUCCCGUGAAGUCAGGAGAAGAAAGUUGGUAUUCGUCACAGUAAAUCAGAUGUCCCUACCAACAUGUUUUCUCAUCAUUCAGUCACGGGGGAAAAGCUCCGGCAAGGUUAUUCUCGUUUAAAGAGACGGAGGAUUUGCGAAUGUUAAUGUUAGUUUGAUAACUAGAGUCACGUGGGCGAGGCCUGAGUUUUAAGAUUUCCGUUAAAAAGGAAAACUUGACCACAAUAAUGGACAGAGAAGCAGCUUGUCUUAAAGAAGCGUCACAGCUCAAACUAUUAAGUAAUCUAGGAACAUUGCGAGGACAAGUAGCUCGAGGAUUUGAGGUGGUUGUUACCUGAUGGGCAGCCG